UAUCCUAAAGGGUUGUCGGAGACUACGACGUUGAUAGGUCAGGUGUGUAAGUGCUGUGAGGCAUUGAGCUAACUGAUACUAAUUGCCCGUGAGGCUUAACCAU
rnacentral:rRNA from 1 species